rnacentral:lncRNA from 10 species
UGUCCCCAUCUGAUUCUGCUGUCUCCUGGAUUCCUUCAUCAUCACCUGGAAAACACCAACACAAGGAGAGAAAGAAAAUGAGCAAAGCUCUCUCUUUCACAUUCACACCCUCAUAAAGGGAUGUCCUUAUCAUAUAUCUAAUUACAGGUUACAUAGACGCUAGCCCUGAACUAACCAAGUUCCCUUCUGCCUGACUGUACCUGCUCUGGCCCUUCUCUACUGAGCCUCCUCCUGCUUCUCUCAAUCCAGAAACUAUGUGAUGAAAGCCUGGUGAGCAGGAGGUUUAUGGUAUCCGUUUGGAUUGGUCAGAUCCCAGGCCAUACCAGUAGUCUUUGAAUAUCACCCCUACAUACAUGAGUCAGCCACCAAUACAGAAUAUAGGAGUACAGAAUGCACAGAUUAAAUGAGGCAGAUGCGUGCUGGUGAG